rnacentral:rRNA from 1 species
AGCAGCCGCGGUAAUUCCAGCUCCAAUAGCGUAUAUUAAAGUUGUUGCAGUUAAAAAGCUCGUAGUUGAAUUUCGGAAUUUGUCGGUUGGUCGGGCUUCACUGUCCGCACUGGCCUGAUGAAUUCCUACCUUCUGAAUAACCAGCAUGCUAUUAAUUUAGUGCGUUGGGGAAGCAGAGCUAUUACCUUGAAAAAUUAGAGUGCUUAAAGCAGGCUCACGCUUGAAUAGAUUAGCAUGGAAUAAUAAAAUAGGACGGCUUGGUUCUAUUUUGUUGGUUUCUAGGAUCACCGUAAUGAUUAAUAGGGAUAGUUGGGGGCAUUAGUAUUCAAUUGUCAGAGGUGAAAUUCUUGGAUUUAUUGAAGACUAACUUCUGCGAAAGCAUUUGCCAAGGAUGUUUUCAUUAAUCAAGAACGAAAGUUAGGGGAUCGAAGACGAUCAGAUACCGUCGUAGUCUUAACCAUAAACUAUGCCGACUAGGGAUCGGACGAUGUUAAUUUUUAAUGACUCGUUCGGCG